rnacentral:rRNA from 1 species
GAUGAACGCUGGCGGCGUGCCUAAUACAUGCAAGUCGAGCGAACGGACGAGAAGCUUGCUUUUCUGAUGUUAGCGGCGGACGGGUGAGUAACACGUGGAUAACCUACCUAUAAGACUGGGAUAACUUCGGGAAACCGGAGCUAAUACCGGAUAAUAUUUUGAACCGCAUGGUUCAAAAGUGAAAGACGGUCUUGCUGUAACUUAUAGAUGGAUCCGCGCUGCAUUAGCUAGUUGUUAAGGUAACGGCUUACCAAGGCAACGAUGCAUAGCCGACCUGAGAGGGUGAUCGGCCACACUGGAACUGAGACACGGUCCAGACUCCUACGGGAGGCAGCAGUAGGGAAUCUUCCGCAAUGGGCGAAAGCCUGACGGAGCGACGCCGCGUGAGUGAUGAAGGUCUUCGGAUCGUAAAACUCUGUUAUUAGGGAAGAACAUAUGUGUAAGUAACUGUGCACAUCUUGACGGUACCUAAUCAGAAAGCCACGGCUAACUACGUG